rnacentral:rRNA from 1 species
UACGUAGGUGGCAAGCGUUGUCCGGAAUUACUGGGUGUAAAGCGCGUGUAGGCGGCAGACCAAGUCGGCGGUGAAAGCGCCCGGCUCAACUGGGCGAGGUCCGUGGAAACUGGUCAGCUGGAGGACGGUAGAGGCGAGUGGAAUUCCCGGUGUAGUGGUGAAAUGCGUAGAGAUCGGGAGGAACACCCGUAGCGAAGGCGGCACUCUGGGCCGGUACUGACGCUGAGGAGCGAAAGCGUGGGGAGCAAACAGG